UACGUAGGGGGCAAGCGUUGUCCGGAAUCAUUGGGCGUAAAGAGCGUGUAGGCCGGCUCGGUAAGUCCGCUCUGAAAGCCCGGGGCUCAACCCCGGGAGGCGGGCGGAUACUGUCGGGCUAGAGUCCGAAGAGGCGAGUGGAAUUCCUGGUGUAGCGGUGAAAUGCGCAGAUAGUCAGGAGGAACACCAAUGGCGAAGGCAGCUCGCUGGGACGGUACUGACGCUGAGGAGCGAAAGCGUGGGGAGCGAACAGG
rnacentral:rRNA from 1 species